rnacentral:rRNA from 1 species
GAUGAACGCUGGCGGCGUGCCUAAUACAUGCAAGUCGAGCGAACAGACGAGGAGCUUGCUCCUCUGACGUUAGCGGCGGACGGGUGAGUAACACGUGGAUAACCUACCUAUAAGACUGGGAUAACUUCGGGAAACCGGAGCUAAUACCGGAUAAUAUAUUGAACCGCAUGGUUCAAUAGUGAAAGACGGUUUUGCUGUCACUUAUAGAUGGAUCCGCGCCGCAUUAGCUAGUUGGUAAGGUAACGGCUUACCAAUGCGACGAUGCGUAGCCGACCUGAGAGGGUGAUCGGCCACACUGGAACUGAGACACGGUCCAGACUCCUACGGGAGGCAGCAGUAGGGAAUCUUCCGCAAUGGGCGAAAGCCUGACGGAGCAACGCCGCGUGAGUGAUGAAGGUCUUCGGAUCGUAAAACUCUGUUAUUAGGGAAGAACAAAUGUGUAAGUAACUAUGCACGUCUUGACGGUACCUAAUCAGAAAGCCACGGCUAACUACGUG